AUUCGAUUCCCUGAGUAGCGGCGAGCGAAACGGGAAGAGCCCAAACCAACAAGCUUGCUUGUUGGGGUUGUAGGACACUCUAUACGGAGUUACAAAAGAACAUGUUAGACGAAUCAUCUGGAAAGAUGAAUCAAAGAAGGUAAUAAUCCUGUAGUCGAAAACAUAUUCUCUCUUGAGUGGAUCCUGAGUACGACGGAGCACGUGAAAUUCCGUCGGAAUCUGGGAGGACCAUCUCCUAAGGCUAAAUACUCUCUAGUGACCGAUAGUGAACCAGUACCGUGAGGGAAAGGUGAAAAGCACCCCGGAAGGGGAGUGAAAGAGAACUUGAAACCGUGUGCUUACAAGUAGUCAGAGCCCGUUAAUGGGUGAUGGCGUGCCUUUUGUAGAAUGAACCGGCGAGUUACGAUCUGAUGCAAGGUUAAGCAGCAAAUGUGGAGCCGCAGCGAAAGCGAGUCUGAAUAGGGCGUUGAGUAUUUGGUCGUAGACCCGAAACCAGGUGAUCUACCCUUGGUCAGGUUGAAGUUCAGGUAACACUGAAUGGAGGACCGAACCGACUUACGUUGAAAAGUGAGCGGAUGAACUGAGGGUAGCGGAGAAAUUCCAAUCGAACUUGGAGAUAGCUGGUUCUCUCCGAAAUAGCUUUAGGGCUAGCCUCAAGUGAUGAUUAUUGGAGGUAGAGCACUGUUUGGACGAGGGGCCCCUCUCGGGUUACCGAAUUCAGACAAACUCCGAAUGCCAAUUAAUUUAACUUGGGAGUCAGAACAUGGGUGAUAAGGUCCGUGUUCGAAAGGGAAACAGCCCAGACCACCAGCUAAGGUCCCAAAAUAUAUGUUAAGUGGAAAAGGAUGUGGCGUUGCCCAGACAACUAGGAUGUUGGCUUAGAAGCAGCCAUCAUUUAAAGAGUGCGUAAUAGCUCACUAGUCGAGUGACACUGCGCCGAAAAUGUACCGGGGCUAAACAUAUUACCGAAGCUGUGGAUUGUCCUUUGGACAAUGGUAGGAGAGCGUUCUAAGGGCGUCGAAGCAUGAUCGCAAGGACAUGUGGAGCGCUUAGAAGUGAGAAUGCCGGUGUGAGUAGCGAAAGACGGGUGAGAAUCCCGUCCACCGAUUGACUAAGGUUUCCAGAGGAAGGCUCGUCCGCUCUGGGUUAGUCGGGUCCUAAGCUGAGGCCGACAGGCGUAGGCGAUGGAUAACAGGUUGAUAUUCCUGUACCACCUAGUAUCGUUUUAAUCGAUGGGGGGACGCAGUAGGAUAGGCGAAGCGUGCUGUUGGAGUGCACGUCCAAGCAGUAAGGCUGAGUGUUAGGCAAAUCCGGCACUCAUAAGGCUGAGCUGUGAUGGGGAGAGGAAAUUGUUUCCUCGAGUCGUUGAUUUCACACUGCCGAGAAAAGCCUCUAGAUAGAUAACAGGUGCCCGUACCGCAAACCGACACAGGUAGUCAAGAUGAGAAUUCUAAGGUGAGCGAGCGAACUCUCGUUAAGGAACUCGGCAAAAUGACCCCGUAACUUCGGGAGAAGGGGUGCUCUUUAGGGUUCACGCCCAGAAGAGCCGCAGUGAAUAGGCCCAAGCGACUGUUUAUCAAAAACACAGGUCUCUGCUAAACCGUAAGGUGAUGUAUAGGGGCUGACGCCUGCCCGGUGCUGGAAGGUUAAGAGGAGUGGUUAGCUUCUGCGAAGCUACGAAUCGAAGCCCCAGUAAACGGCGGCCGUAACUAUAACGGUCCUAAGGUAGCGAAAUUCCUUGUCGGGUAAGUUCCGACCCGCACGAAAGGCGUAACGAUUUGGGCACUGUCUCAACGAGAGACUCGGUGAAAUCAUAGUACCUGUGAAGAUGCAGGUUACCCGCGACAGGACGGAAAGACCCCGUGGAGCUUUACUGUAGCCUGAUAUUGAAAUUCGGCACAGCUUGUACAGGAUAGGUAGGAGCCUUUGAAACGUGAGCGCUAGCUUACGUGGAGGCGUUGGUGGGAUACUACCCUAGCUGUGUUGGCUUUCUAACCCGCACCACUUAUCGUGGUGGGAGACAGUGUCAGGCGGGCAGUUUGACUGGGGCGGUCGCCUCCUAAAAGGUAACGGAGGCGCUCAAAGGUUCCCUCAGAAUGGUUGGAAAUCAUUCAUAGAGUGUAAAGGCAUAAGGGAGCUUGACUGCGAGACCUACAAGUCGAGCAGGGUCGAAAGACGGACUUAGUGAUCCGGUGGUUCCGCAUGGAAGGGCCAUCGCUCAACGGAUAAAAGCUACCCCGGGGAUAACAGGCUUAUCUCCCCCAAGAGUUCACAUCGACGGGGAGGUUUGGCACCUCGAUGUCGGCUCAUCGCAUCCUGGGGCUGUAGUCGGUCCCAAGGGUUGGGCUGUUCGCCCAUUAAAGCGGUACGCGAGCUGGGUUCAGAACGUCGUGAGACAGUUCGGUCCCUAUCCGUCGUGGGCGUAGGAAAUUUGAGAGGAGCUGUCCUUAGUACGAGAGGACCGGGAUGGACAUACCUCUGGUGUACCAGUUGUCGUGCCAACGGCAUAGCUGGGUAGCUAUGUAUGGACGGGAUAAGUGCUGAAAGCAUCUAAGCAUGAAGCCCCCCUCAAGAUGAGAUUUCCCAACUUCGGUUAUAAGAUCCCUCGAAGAUGACGAGGUUAAUAGGUUCGAGGUGGAAGCGUGGUGACACGUGGAGCUGACGAAUACUAAUCGAUCGAAGACUUAAUC
rnacentral:rRNA from 1 species